AGUGGAACUUUUGCAAGUGGGCUAUCAUCAGAAGUGAAACGUUAGCUGCUGACUCCGCUGCUUUUGGCCACAGACGGCUGCCUUUAUGAAUCAUGUUUGUCCCUCUGCCUUUUUUGUGGUUUAUAUGGACUUGAUUGAAGAUGAAGCACUUGUCCUCUUACCUCGGACUUCCAGCAGCAGUACAAGUGGUUGCACACUGAACUUCAAAGAAGAGGGAGAUAAGAUAGAUCCCUGACCUGGCUAAGUCCACGAAAAAAUACCCUCCAUCAAGAAAAUGUUGACAUCUACCUGGACAAAUCUAGAAAUCACUGUUCUUUGUGAUCUUCAAUGAUAUUCUUCAUUCAAAAACCUCAAAGCACAAAUCAUUUCACUG